rnacentral:rRNA from 1 species
AGCUCCAAUAGCGUAUAUUAAAGUUGUUGCAGUUAAAAAGCUCGUAGUUGGAUUUCGGAACGGGCCAGUUGGUCCGCCGCAAGGUGUGUACUGACUGGUUUGUUCUUCUUCGCAAAGACUGCGUGUGCUCUUUAUUGAGUGUGCGUAGGAUUUACGACGUUUACUUUGAAAAAAUUAGAGUGUUCAAAGCAGGCUAUCGCUUGAAUACAUGAGCAUGGAAUAAUGGAAUAGGACUACGGUCCCUAUUUCGUUGGUUUGACGGACCGAAGUAAUGAUUAAGAGGGACAAUUGGGGGCAUCCGUAUUUCGUAGUCAGAGGUGAAAUUCUUGGACCUACGAAAGACGAACAACUGCGAAAGCAUUUGCCAAGAGUGUUUUCAUUAAUCAAGAACGAAAGUAGG